CCUAGUCUGAACAUCCAAGGUGCCGCCCACGGGCGGAGAAUUGGGAAGCCGGUGAAAUGCCGGCGCUGCCCCCGCAACGGUGAGGGUGGGAUGUGAUUGGCAAUACCACUGGGGAAUACCCUUCGGGAAGGUGUCAGUCGCGGGCCGCAAGGCCACCCGCCCCAAGCCCGGAAACCAGCCUUGGAUGUACGUGAAUCG
rnacentral:ncRNA from 1 species